AUUGAACGCUGGCGGGAUGCCUUACACAUGCAAGUCGAACGGCAGCGGACCUUCGGGUGCCGGCGAGUGGCGAACGGGUGAGUAAUAUAUCGGAACGUACCUUUCAGUGGGGGAUAACGUAGCGAAAGUUACGCUAAUACCGCAUAUUCUGUGAGCAGGAAAGCAGGGGAUCGCAAGACCUUGCGCUGAUUGAGCGGCCGAUAUCAGAUUAGCUAGUUGGUGAGGUAAAGGCUCACCAAGGCGACGAUCUGUAGCGGGUCUGAGAGGAUGAUCCGCCACACUGGAACUGAGACACGGUCCAGACUCCUACGGGAGGCAGCAGUGGGGAAUUUUGGACAAUGGGCGCAAGCCUGAUCCAGCCAUGCCGCGUGAGUGAAGAAGGCC
rnacentral:rRNA from 1 species